CGGAGGGUGCAAGCGUUAUCCGGAUUCACUGGGUUUAAAGGGAGCGUAGGUGGCUUUGUAAGUCAGUGGUGAAAUAUCGCGGCUCAACCGCAAAACUGCCAUUGAUACUGCUUAGCUUGAAUCACGUCGAGGUGGAUGGAAUAAUACAUGUAGCGGUGAAAUGCUUAGAUAUGUAUUAGAACACCGAUUGCGAAGGCAGUUCACUAGGCGUGUAUUGACACUGAGGCUCGAAAGCGUGGGGAUCAAACAGGAUUAGAUACCCUGGUAGUCCACGCCCUAAACGAUGUAAACUCGACAUUAGCGAUAUACUGUUAGUGUCCAAGCGAAAGCGUUAAGUUUACCACCUGGGAACGUACGACCGCAAGGUUG
rnacentral:rRNA from 1 species